CAUGCACCCAAACCCAAAGGCCUCACCUGUCCGUGGUGGGAUUUUGUCUGGCGUGCGAACAGAGAACUGAUCCUUGUCGCCUUUCUCUGACGCUGCAGUGUCUUUGAAAGUGAAAUCAAGGGUCAACAGAU